rnacentral:rRNA from 1 species
CUCUGUGACUCCUACGGGAGGCAGCAGUGGGGAAUAUUGCACAAUGGGGGAAACCCUGAUGCAGCCAUGCCGCGUGUGUGAAGAAGGCCUUCGGGUUGUAAAGCACUUUCAGUAGGGAGGAAGGUAGUGUAGUUAACACCUGCACUAUUUGACGUUACCUACAGAAGAAGCACCGGCUAACUCCGUGCCAGCAGCCGCGGUAAUACGGAGGGUGCGAGCGUUAAUCGGAAUUACUGGGCGUAAAGCGCAUGCAGGCGGCCUGUUAAGUCAGAUGUGAAAGCCCGGGGCUUAACCUCGGAAUUGCAUUUGAAACUGGCAGGCUAGAGUCUUGUAGAGGGGGUAGAAUUUCAGGUGUAGCGGUGAAAUGCGUAGAGAUCUGAAGGAAUACCAGUGGCGAAGGCGGCCCCCUGGACAGAUACUGACACUCAGAUGCGAAAGCGUGGGGAGCAAACAGGAUUAGAUACCCUGGUAG